rnacentral:snoRNA from 1 species
GUCCUCCAGAUUUCUUACCCCUCAGACCUAAGCACUGGUCCGAGUGACUAAAAAAAGGGGGGAAGUAAGACUGCCGUGGACCUGGAGUCUUUAGUGACAUUCAAGUUCAUUUCAAAUAGCU